rnacentral:rRNA from 1 species
UACGAAGGGGGGCUAGCGUUGCUCGGAAUUACUGGGCGUAAAGCGCACGUGGGCGGCUUUCUAAGUCGGGGGGUGAAAUCCUGGAGCUCAACUCCAGAACUGCCUUCGAUACUGGAAAGCUCGAGUCCGGGAGAGGUGAGUGGAACUGCGAGUGUAGAGGUGAAAUUCGUAGAUAUUCGGCAAGAACACCAGUGGCGAAGGCGGCUCACUGGCCCGGUACUGACGCUGAGGUGCGAAAGCGUGGGGAGCAAACAGG